UUCCCAUCUACUUGGAGCCCUUGGUGGUGUU
rnacentral:piRNA from 1 species